UGACAAAACCACACUCAAAAAACUUGAGAGACAAGGGGAAUGAGGGACAAACCGUUUUAGAGUGAGGGAGAGAGAGAAUCAGAGAAGAAGAAGAAGGCCGACCAUGGUUUCCGACCGGCCGGGCAUUUUAUUCUGGUUAUGGUGGUUGCGGAGGUGGUUACAGGCGACGGUGACAUUGAGGGUUCCGUCGGGCGCCGUCGGUGGUGGUGAUCGAUGAUGUUUGUAAUUAAUGGUGAUGAUGGCGGUGGUUCCGAGUAAGGGAUGUGGUAGUUGUCGACGGUGACCAGCGUCAGUGGUAGAUGUAGUCGGAGACGGUGAUGAUGGUUAGGGUUUAACAUGUGUCGCUUGCAAGUGUAGUAGAAAAGAACGGCGGCUGCGAUCUGUUUAUGAGUUACGAUGAUGGUGGUUACAAUGGUGACAAUUUUCGUCGGAGAUGAUUGGAACAGAUGGCGUCAACGUUAAGAUGGUUCGGGUGUGGAAGAUCCGUCAGUGGUAGAUGUAGUCGGAGACGGUGACGAUUGUUAGGGUUUAACAUGUGUCGCUUGCAAGUGUAGUAGAAAAGAACGGCGCCUGCGAUCUGUUUAUGAGUUCAGAUGAUGGUGGUUACAACGGUGACACUUUUCGUCGGAGAUGAUUGGAAUAGAUGGCGUCAAUGUUAAGAUGGUUCGGGUGUGGAAAAUCUGGUUACUUCUGUCGGCGGUAACAAUUAGCGGGGGGGAUUCGACUCUGUCAAUAGGCGCUAUGGUUACUUCUGUCGUUUUCAUCUUAGAUAAGAAGCAGACCUUGGGAUGGUUCCGCUACUUGCAAGAUUUGGGCAGCUUCCACACAAUGAGCUGUUGUGGGUGACACAGUCUCUUGGUUAUGCUUUUCAUGAGUCAAUCGUUCACCGUAAGCAUGGCUCUUGCUGCCCGAAUGUCAAUGACGACUUAUAAAGGAAGGUGGACGAUUAAAUUUUGACUCAUUCUCAAAGGAACUAAGUGCCAUUACAAGAAUGUGAGGGGAGUCUCAUGUAUAUAAUGUGUAACUGACGAAGCAUAUUGGAUGGACCAAGAGAUGGCGGUCUUUAUCAAGGUAUGUCGGUUAUGGGCAUUAAUUUAAGAUCUUAUCUUGAAACUGUCUGAACCUAUCUAGCAGUGUUCGCUGUUAACAUAGGAUGUAUGUACUGCGGCACAUGUUUUGUCCGUUAAGAACAAUUUAGCAAAACUUCAGCUGACAUCAAUUGUGUGUACUAGCAAGGGUGAGAAGAUUUCUCUAAGCCGGAGAGUCGAGAAACAUUGGCGAUUGAUCGGCUGGGACAAAUCCAGGCAGGUCUAACUCUUGAAAUGCUUGGAACUAGAGUAUCCUCUUGUAAAAAUAAUUCAAGUAUCUUCAUGUUAUAUAUCACCUAUUUGUGUUAUUAACUCAAAUAUUUAUGAUUAGAGCACUUAAAGUUGUGUUAAAUUGGAUUAGAGGCAGUUUUUGUAUUUGUUAACAGCCGAUUUUGAAUUUUGGCUUUCGUCGUAUGCUAAAGCAAAGCGCAAUUGAGUUA